rnacentral:tRNA from 1 species
UCGGGAGUCGUCCAACGGCAGGACAUCGGUUUUUGGCACCGACAAUGGAGGUUCGAGCCCUCCCUCCCGAGCCA